GACAAGGAUGAUAGGAGUAGAAAGGAUGAUAGGAACAAUCGAUGAUGAGGGUUCAUAGCAAAUAUCCUUGAAGGAAGAGGGUAAUUUGUAAAUGUCAGGCCCUCGAAAUCUCCACACGGGAAGAGGCAAAUAAACGACCAAACACACCAAGGCAUGUUGCUCGGAAUGGACACAUUAAUAUCAUCAACUAGGCUUUCCCAAGCUUGUUCAUUGUUUGCUUUGAAGAAUUUGUUAAACAUAUUACAAGCAUGAACUUAUUCCCUUGCAAUUAGCGCCACACUUUCCUCGUAAUUUUGUACCUUGCCAAAUAGUAGAGCAUUAUUUGAAC
rnacentral:misc_RNA from 1 species